rnacentral:rRNA from 1 species
GACGAACGCUGGCGGCGUGCUUAACACAUGCAAGUCGAACGGAAAGGCCUGCUUUCCCUUGUGGAUUGCGGGUACUCGAGUGGCGAACGGGUGAGUAACACGUGAGUGAUCUGCCCCCAACUUGGGUAUAAGCCUGGGAAACUGGGUCUAAUUCCCGAUAGGACUGCAGGGUGGUGCCUGUGGUGGAACACGAUUUUCUAGUGGUUGGGGAUGAGCUCGCGGCCUAUCAGCUUGUUGGUGGGGUAAUGGCCUACCAAGGCGGCGACGGGUAGCCGGCCUGGGAGGGUGGACGGGAGCAUGGGGACGGAGAUACGGCCCAGACUCCUACGGGAGGCAGCAGUGGGGAAUAUUACACAAUGGGCGGAAGCCUGAGGCAGCGACGCCGCGUGGGGGAUGACGGCCUUCGGGUUGUAAACUCCUUUCGACCGCGAGGAAGCCACCUGGUUGGAAGGGUGGUGACGGUAGUGGUAGAAGAAGCACCGGCUAACUACGUG